ensembl:lncRNA
UAGCUAAAUAAAUCAGGCAAAUAAAUAGAGUACAAUUUAGAGCAUAUUUCUUUCUUGGUUUUUGCACUUUUUCCUCAAAUAGAAGUAUACAAAACAUUUCAGAACAGUACAUCUUUUAAAAUCCUGACUUCAGACAAUAUACAACCUGCAACUCUCCUUAUUCAACACAAAAGCUGUGUAGAUAGCUUUUCUUUUGUGUGUGUGUCACCGGUAUAUUAACUUGGAAGAAAUAAAUAAAUGACCAAACCUGUGGAUAGUGCACCACCUUCUGGUUGUGAGGUGACAUGACAAGAGCAUGCUGGGACCCAAGUAGAGUAGAAGGCUACCUCUCUUACGCCACAACAUGUGACUGGAAACAGGGGUGGCACGUAUGUUACUGCUGAAAGAAAGGCAUGUGCUUUUGCACCUUCUGCAGACAUCUGUGGCCCUGCUAUAUUUUCACUCCACCCAUGAAUACAUCCACUAUGGCACAUCACAUGGGAAUAGCCCACAACAAAAAGUGCAUUAAACAACUAGCUUAAUGAAUUAUUCAUGCUAUAUUUUACAGGGCCAGUCAUUGGCUAAAUAAUUAUACACAAGUACACAAAAUAAAUGAAACUACUGUAUAGUUCCAGAUACUUAUCGAUCUGCUUUGCUGAGUGCAUAAUCUAUAAAUACUGCUACUUCACUCUCCUGAUGAGGAAGUGUAAGCAGAUCCAGCACAAGAGUGGGAAAUAAAGACUUUUUUGUGAAGACCGCGUUAUUGUGCACUCACUUCUUUUUGUGAAAUCUUCCUUCCCUAAAAUGCUAAAUUGUUUAAGAAUUUGGAUCAUUUCCUGUGCUUGAUAACGGUGUGCUUAAGGUCUGCCAUGUUCCCCUCCCAGAUACGACCUAUAAUAGUUAUUCAUGCUCUUGCAUCUUUUGUUUACAGUUUUUUACGAUUGCAUAAACACUUAAAUCAAAAGUAUUACACAAUUAUCAAAACCUUACACUCAAGGAGCAAAACAUCGGACCAGAUUUGCACCACUAUAAGCACAUGUCAACCUCACACUUUUUGAAAAACAAUUCACACAGUGAUUUGCAAAACACUAAACACACUUGUAUGCAUUAGACACAGAAGUAUAUCAUUAUGUUUUAAAACACUAAACACACUUGUAUGCAUUAGACAGAAGUAUAUCAUUAUGUUUUAAAACACUAAACACACUUGUAUGCAUUAGACAGAAGUAUAUCAUUAUGUUUUAAAACACUAAACACACUUGUAUGCAUUAGACACAGAAGUAUAUCAUUAUGUUUUAAAACACUAAACACACUUGUAUGCAUUAGACAGAAGUAUAUCAUUAUGUCACUUCCUUGCAAUUCCGCCGCACUGACUGUCAAAUGAACACACCUAUGUGCCAAUUGGUUAAACACAGCCAUCAGGUGUGCAAACACAAGAUUGCUUCAUUAUAGAGUGUAGACACACUAUACAAAUGCAGCAGGUGAGUUCACCUGUUUUCAACCAAAAUGGAAGGAAUCAGGAAAAGAAGAGUCAGGGUGAGAGGGGGGAAGAGGUAGAGGCCGAGGUAGAGGAAGAGGAAGACCUGAAGCAGGAUGAGAAUGUGCUCAAAGAAGAAGAGGACCAAUUAUAUCUAAUGAAAUUCGCGCAACACUAGUUGACCACGUCGUGAACCACAGAUUGACGCUGAGGGAGGCUGGACUAAGAGUUCAGACCAAUCUAAUCAGAUACACAGUGGCAUCUGUCAUUAGGACAUUUAGACAAGGAAACAGGUACAAAUCAAUCUGUCUACAGCUGCUUAUUGUAUGCACCAUAUCAGCACUUACCCCUUCCUGUGACAUUUUACAGUAGGUUGCAUGUAUUUUGUUCUACAUAGGAUUGAGGGUCAAGAACGACAAGGAGGAAGGGCGCCCAUAUUCACGCAAGAACAAGAGAGAGAGAUCGUAAACAUGGCCAAUAAUGCUAUAGGGUUCAGAGAAAUUAAAGCCAACUUUAUUGAUGACCAUACCAUUUUCAAUAAUGUCAAUCAGGUCUCUCAGUCAACACUGGCUCGCGUUCUAAACAGACAUCGGGUUCGAAUGGAACAAAUGUAUCGAGUGCCUUUGGAGCGGAACUCCGAGGGGGUCAAACGGCUGCAGCAUGAGUAUGUGGAGGUGUGUGUGUGUGGAGGUGUGUGUGUGUGGAGGUGUGUGUGUGUGCGUGUGGAGGUGUGUGUGUGUGUGUGUGUCUGUUCACUUUAGCACUGUGAUGUGAGUGUGUGUGUGUGUGUGUGUGUACUGUUCACUUUAGCACUCUGAUGUGAGUAUGUGGAGGUGUGUACUGUUCACUUUAGCACUCUGAUAUUGCAUACUGCACACGUAACCUUUUUACAUGUAAAUGUCCUGUAUACUAGACCUAUGUUGAACUUGUCUUUCACUGUAUUUCAGAGAGUUUUACAGAUGGAUGCUGAGUAAAUCCCACAUGAAUUCAUAUGCAUAGAUGAGGCAGGGUUCAACCUCACAAAAGCAAGAACAUCAUCGAAUUGGCCACAGGGCUAUAAUCAAUGUCCCGGGGCAACGUGGGGGUAACAUCACCCUUUGUGCUGCCAUCACCCAGAAUGGGGUCCUCCUCCGUCAUGCCAAUAUGGGCCCUUACAACACAACUCACAUCCUCACAUCUUUGGACCGACCGCACAACAUCGUCACAGCAGUAAACCACAUGCACCAGAUGCAAUACAUUCCACCGCUCUGCUCUGGUGCAGAACUGGUUUCAACACCAUCCACAGUACUAUACCUUCCACCAUACUCUCCGUUUCUAAACCCGGCGGUGGAGGGUUUAUGAUCUCCGGCCCCAGGCUCAGGUACCCCUCAUUCAGCCUCAAAUCGAGCCGCAACUGUACAAGUUCCCAAUUGGUCUUGCCAAUGAAGAUAUCGCCUUUGAUGUUGAUGAAAUGUUCUGGCCAGAUCCAGCUAGGCGAAGAGAGAAUGUGUAGUAUUUUCUGUACUGUAUUUCACUGUAAUUGGGACCUGUACUGGAUACAAUGUUAUGUAUGACUGAUAUUUGCUGAGCUUACAGUGUUAUUCACACUACUGUAGUAGCAUGAAAACUGGGACAUGUUUUGUUGUUUUUGUUGUGAUUCUCCAUGUUGACUGACUUGGGUAUAUGGAGAGAAAUAAAUUAUAUUUUCAUCAGUCUUGUGUAGUGUUUGGUGAAUGUAUUGUACUUUCUCUGUGUACUUCACUUACACUACUCUAAAAUCACUGAUAAGUAGAAUUGCUAAAAGUGUUUUAGGUUUGCAACAGCAGUAUGUAACUGGUACAAACAGUCAUAUGCAACGUGUGUUUCAUAUGGUAAGAAAAUAUGGUUUUGAUAAAUGAGUGUAUAUAGUUUAUACAAGAGUGUUUCAUUUUGCAAAGGAUCUGAGGUGUUGUGCUAAUUGUGUUUAGUGUUUUGAAAAACCGGGCCCUGUUUUCAAAAUCGUGCUCUAGCAAUGGAGAAAAAGUGCAAUAUGUCUACUCCUACUCUGUCUGCAUGUAUGGUGAAAUCAUUACAGAUUAGCAGAAGGUGGCGGCCCUUCUGCUCUUCAAAGAGGGCAUGUUAUUGAUUUUUUGAUUAUCAUCCACUGGCUCCCUGUAGUUGCUAGAAUUCAAUUCAAAUGUCUUAAACCCACAUACCUUAAUUCUCUAAUUCAGAUCUAUUCUCCUCCCUCAAGCACAACAUUCUUCUGAUGAGCAACAUUUGAUUUGACCCUCUCUUCACAGCAAGAGAUCACAAGACAGUGUUGGAAUGAUCUACCCAAUCAGGAGAAACCCUUUCUAUUUUGAAGUAGUCUACUCUAGUCUAAAGUCCCAUCUCUUUUAUGAUAAUCUUUUUGUCUGACUGGUAUUUAUACCAUUAAUAUUAUAUGUCAUGAGUUUAUGUAACUUUUGUU